rnacentral:misc_RNA from 1 species
AACGCAUAUUGCACUCUCUGGUAAUCCGGGGAGUAUGCCUGUUUGAGGGUCAGUAAAUAAUAAUUAUCAUAAUCUUCUUGAUUGUGGAAUUGGGCUUUUUAUUUCAUUUUAAUGAUUUAUGGCCUUAAAUUUAUGUUACCGCUUGUUUAAAUGAAAUUCGACCGAAUGGAGCAAUUAAACAUUCUCUCGUUAGGCGGAUUCAUCAAGCAAUUACGAUUUUUUGGCCGUCGAGGCACUUUUUUUUUAGAAGUGCUUGGUCGAGAUUGUAAGAUACAAUUUUAACAAUGACCUCAAAUCAGGCAAGAAUACCCGCUGAACUUAA